rnacentral:lncRNA from 1 species
ACACUGAUAUAUAUCAUGUACACACGUGUGCACACAGACACACUGAUACAUAUCAUGUACACACGUGUGCACACAGAUACACUGAUACAUAUCAUGUACACACGUAUGCACACAGAUACACUGAUAUAUAUCAUGUACACACAUAUGCACACACAGACACACUGAUAUAUAUCAUGUACACACAUAUGUGUGCACACAGACACACUGAUAUAUAUCAUGUACACACGUGUGCACACAGAUACACUGAUACAUAUCAUGUACACACGUAUGCACACAGAUACACUGAUAUAUAUCAUGUACACACGUAUGCACACAGAUACACUGAUAUAUAUCAUGUACACACAUAUGUACACACAGACACACUGAUAUAUAUCAUGUACACACGUAUGCACACACAGACACACUGAUACAUAUCAUGUACACACGUGUGCACACAGAUACACUGAUACAUAUCAUGUACACACGUAUGCACACAGAUACACUGAUAUAUAUCAUGUACACACGUAUGCACACAGAUACACUGAUAUAUAUCAUGUACACACAUAUGUGCACACAGAUACACUGAUAUAUAUCAUGUACACACAUAUGUACACACAGACACACUGAUAUAUAUCAUGUACACACGUAUGCACACACAGAUACACUGAUACAUAUCAUGUACACACGUGUGCACACAGAUACACUGAUACAUAUCAUGUACACACGUAUGCACACAGAUACACUGAUACAUAUCAUGUACACACAUAUGUACACACAGAUACACUGAUAUAUAUCAUGUACACACGUAUGUACACACAGACACACUGAUAUAUAUCAUGUACACACGUAUGUGCACACAGAUACACUGAUAUAUAUCAUGUACACACAUAUGCACACACAGACACACUGAUAUAUAUCAUGUACACACAUAUGCACACAGACACACUGAUAUAUAUCAUGUACACACGUAUGUACACACAGAUACACUGAUAUAUAUCAUGUACACACGUAUGCACACACAGACACACUGAUAUAUAUCAUGUACACACGUAUGUGCACACAGACACACUGAUAUAUAUCAUGUACACACGUAUGCACACACAGACACACUGAUAUAUAUCAUGUACACACAUAUGCACACACAGAUACACUGAUAUAUAUCAUGUACACACAUAUGUGCACACAGACACACUGAUAUGUAUCAUGUACACACGUAUGCACACACAGAUACACUGAUACAUAUAUACACACUGCUUUAGAUACUAUGCAUACAUAUACACACAUCAUAUAUGGUGAUAUUUAUACACACAUAUAUGUGUACACACAUGUGUAUACAUAGAUAUAUAUCAUGCAGACACAUAUACACAUGCACGUACUGGUAUGUAUCGUAUGCACACGUAUAUACACACACUGAUAUAUAUCAUACAUGCACACUGAUAUAGAUCAUAGAUGCUCAUAUUCAUAUAUAUACAUACAUGUUUAUAUAUGUGUACACAUUGCAGGCACAC